rnacentral:lncRNA from 1 species
UUUUUUAUCGAAAGUAUCUCUGAUGGAGAUCUUUUGACGCUCAAGUCAGAUUUUUCGCAGCAGGUAGAAAAGAACAAGCAUUUAUAAGAGAAAGAAAAGGCGUACUCAAAAGAUCCCUAUUUAUCUCUUUAUAUAAGUGAGAUGGGAGCCUUGAGGAGAAGAGGGAGGCCGUAAAAGAUCUUUUUACCCCUAAUUAUAUCUCUGAGUGGCGCUGUGCCUGAUUUUUUGACUUUUGGAGUAUUGUCACUUCAUAGCACAUAGAAGAUUGUUGCAGUU